rnacentral:tRNA from 12 species
UCCGCGAUAGCUCAAUGGUGGAGCAUUCGGCUGUUAACCGACAGGUUGGAGGUUCGAGUCCUCUUCGCGGAGCCA